CUACGGGGGGCAGCAGUGGGGAAUAUUGGACAAUGGGGGGAACCCUGAUCCAGCCAUGCCGCGUGUGAGGAAGACCCUCGGGGUGUAAAACACUUUCAGUGUGGGAGAACGCCCGUUGUGGAAUACACAUAUGGGGAAACAUAACUCACAGAAAAGGCACCGCCUAACUCCGUGCCAGCAGCCGCGGUAAUACGGAGGGUGCGAGCGUUAAUCGGAAUUACUGGGCGUAAAGCGCGCGUAGGUGGCUUGAUAAGCCGGUUGUGAAAGCCCCGGGCUCAACCUGGGAACGGCAUCCGGAACUGUCAAGCUAGAGUGCAGGAGAGGAAGGUAGAAUUCCCGGUGUAGCGGUGAAAUGCGUAGAGAUCGGGAGGAAUACCAGUGGCGAAGGCGGCCUUCUGGACUGACACUGACACUGAGGUGCGAAAGCGUGGGUAGCAAACAGGAUUAGAUACCCGAGUAGUC
rnacentral:rRNA from 1 species